UACGUAGGGUGCGAGCGUUACUCGGAAUUACUGGGCGUAAAGUGUGCGCAGGCGGCCGCGCAAGUCGAGUGUGAAAGCCCCGGGCUUAACUUGGGAAUUGCGCUCGAAACUACGUGGCUGGAGUAUGGCAGAGGAAGGUGGAAUUCCACGUGUAGCGGUGAAAUGCGUAGAUAUCGGAAGGAACAUCAGUGGCGAAAGCGCUCUGCUGGACUGCAACUGACACUCAGGGACGAAAGCUAGGGGAGCGAAUGGG
rnacentral:rRNA from 1 species